rfam:Gregarina niphandrodes unplaced genomic scaffold scaffold00231, whole genome shotgun sequence.
UCACGAAUGCUCGAGUGGUCCAAGGGGAUAGACUCAAGUUCUACUAUGCAGUGCACGCGCGGGUUCGAAUCCCGCUUCGUGUA